rnacentral:rRNA from 1 species
GGGGAAUAUUGGACAAUGGGCGCAAGCCUGAUCCAGCCAUGCCGCGUGGGUGAAGAAGGCCUUCGGGUUGUAAAGCCCUUUUGUUGGGAAAGAAAAGCAGCCGACCAAUACCCGGUUGUUCUGACGGUACCCAAAGAAUAAGCACCGGCUAACUUCGUGCCAGCAGCCGCGGUAAUACGAAGGGUGCAAGCGUUAAUCGGAAUUACUGGGCGUAAAGCGCGCGUAGGUGGUUCGUUAAGUUGGAUGUGAAAGCCCUGGGCUCAACCUGGGAACUGCAGUGGAUACUGGAUCACUAGAGUGUGGCAGAGGGUAGUGGAAUUCCCGGUGUAGCAGUGAAAUGCGUAGAGAUCGGGAGGAACAUCAGUGGCGAAGGCGACUGCCUGGGCCAACACUGACACUGAGGCACGAAAGCGUGGGGAGCAAACA